rnacentral:tRNA from 1 species
GGUUCCCUGGUGUAAUGGUUAGCACUCUGGACUUUGAAUCUAGCAAUCCGAGUUCAAAUCUCCUUCUGCUUA